CAGUCGCCACGGUAAUACAGAAGGUGCAAGCGUUAAUCGGAAUUACUGGGCGUAAAGCGCGCGUAGGUGGUUUGUUAAGUUGGAUGUGAAAUCCCUGAGCUUAACUUAGGAAUUGCAUUCGAUACUGGGAAGCUAGAGUAUGGGAGAGGAUGGUAGAAUUCCAGGUGUAGCGGUGAAAUGCGUAGAGAUCUGGAGGAAUACCGAUGGCGAAGGCAGCCAUCUGGCCUAAUACUGACGCUGAGGUACGAAAGCAUGGGGAGCAAACAGGAUUAGAUACCCCCGUAGUCCCUGUCUCUUAUAC
rnacentral:rRNA from 1 species